GGUGUUGGGCGCAUUAUAGUGAGCAAUGUAUUCAAUAUUGCACUGCUGCAGCUGGAUGAACCCAUCAACUUCAAUAAUUACAUGCAGCCUGCAUGUUUAGACCUUAACAAUGCCAGAUCAUUCCCUGUUGGGACUCCGUGUUGGGUCGCAGGUUGGGGCACUGGCAGCAAGAAUAAAGGCAUUGGUAAAGCUGACACAACUCUUCGAGAUCUUGAAACUCAAGUGGCAAGUUGUGGUAAUGUCUCUGACUCAGAGAACAUUUGCACUAACACCAUGGACCUUCAGCAGGGGGAUCAAGGCAGCCCUCUCCUGUGUAAGUCCGACUCAUCAUGGUUCCAGGUAGCUGUUGUAACAAUGAAUGGGAGAAAAUCUACCCGUGCAGAUGUUCAGGUCUUUCAAAAAGCUUCAAACUAUGCCUCACUGGUAAAGGAGACAGUUGGCGACAUGCCGUCCCCUGAAGCUGUAACAGGAAGUUCACCAAGUUUCUCCAUUUCCUUAUUCUUGUCUGUCACUGUCCCCAUUACCUCGAUGUUCCUGUUGCCUUGAGCUGCUUGAAGCAGUUCGAUAUUGCACUAAAAUAUCAUAUAAAUGCACUUAUAACACUCAGGUCAAACUGAAGAACAUCUUCAUAUGAGGCACUUCCAAUGAAGUUUACAUUUUCACAACAAUAAAAGGUAUUUUAUUGUACUGUGAUACUUUUCUUUUAAACUCAUUAUUCAGCAAGAUGUCUUUAUUCAAAUCUGUUUUAUUGAAUCUGGUUAAAUGAAGGACAGCGUGUACAUUGUUUGUUCUGUCACAUGUCAUACUUAUGUUGUGUCUUUGUUGUCUUUCUAUAUAAAAUGUAUAUAUGAAGGUAUAUCUUCACAUGAAAUGCAAUUUUAUUCACAUAUAUAAUAAAUACUGAUGAAGCAUAAAAUGGAUGUUUGUUUUCAAAAAAUACAAAUUCAAAAUAUUUCAAGAUGACACAUUUCAUAAUUUAUUUUUAAACAAUGCAGUUCACACUCUCAACUGUAAUAAUACAGUUGUUGUUUUUUUAAGCAAGUUAGCAAGUUUAAGCAUUUUAGAAAUUUUACAGUACAUAAUGUGAUAAAAA